GGACACCAGAGGAGGGAAGAAAAGGAGAAGGACAAAGUGGAGAGGGAGGAGAUGGAGCAAUCUCUUAUGUGAUCAUUCCAUCAACUCACAAAUUUUUCACCUAACACCUGGUUCAACUGUAAUGUGCUCAGCUCCAUAUAACCUGGACAGCAGCUGUGCCCUCACCCCCAAACUCAGCAAAUUAUUAUGGUCCUCUAAUCAAGAGAAUUUUGCUCCUGUUACUGCAUGUCUUGUGGGUUCAUCGUCAGACCAGUGAGUUGAUACCAAACUUCACCAAACGGCUCUCCGGAGCAACCGUUUAGAGGAAUCAUUAACCAAUGGCAACAGGAAUCCAAGGAUAAAGUGAUUUCCCUCCUGUUAACUCAUCUGCCUUUGCUGAAGCCAGGAAACCUCGACGCAAAAGUAGAAUAUAUGAAACUGCUGCCCAAAAUCCUGGCUCACUCUAUUGAACACAACCAGCACAUUGAGGAGAGCAGGCAGCUGCUGUCCUAUGCUUUGAUACAUCCAGCCACUUCAUUAGAAGACCGUAGUGCUUUAGCCAUGUGGCUGAAUCACUUGGAGGACCGCACAUCAACCAGCUUUGGUGGCCAGAACCGAGGCCGCUCAGACUCUGUGGAUUAUGGACAGACACACUACUAUCACCAAAGACAGAACUCCGAUGACAAGCUCAAUGGAUGGCAGAACUCUCGGGAUUCUGGGAUUUGCAUCAAUGCCUCCAACUGGCAGGACAAAAGCAUGGGGUGUGAGAAUGGCCAUGUGCCCCUCUACUCCUCCUCAUCUGUCCCCACCACAAUCAAUACGAUUGGAACCAGCACAAGUACAAGUAAGUUCCCCGGAAGCCCUUUAACGUAGUCUGGUUUGGCGAUUUGCUGUGUAUGUGGCAUGUCCUGCUGACAGUGUCUGCUCCAUGCACCCUGUGACCCUGGGAGAGAAGGACUGAUUGGAAUUGGCUGUGGGAAAGGUCCUUUGGACCCCAUAUUUGUUGCCUUUUGACUCUGCAAAGAUGAAAAUACUGGGAAGGUAAAAGUGACUGGUAGUCCAAAUUUGGGUUAUAAACAGACCAAAAAUAAAUAGAGAAUAAAUGAAAGGAGGAAACUUCCCGUUUCCACAAACAGAAA
rnacentral:sRNA from 1 species